GAAUUAGUAUAAAUAUGGGAUGUUAAGUACUCUUCAAAACUUACAGGGAAAGUACUUAAUAUGGCUAGCAGCAAAGUUAGUGUUGUGGUUCUCCUCCUAGUGUGUGGUGUAACUCUGCUGGGAGUAUUCAAUCCGAAGAAUGUGGUUGCGAGCCAGGCUUGCCCAGAGAGUUGCUUGUGCGUGUCGUACAUGACUUGCGGCAAUUCAGACCAGAAACUUGAUAAUGGCUGCAACUGCUGCUUAGCGCCAAAGGGCUGCACUCUUCACCUCUGCAGCAAUACUACACUUCUCUGUGAUGGGAAUUGAAGGGUGGAUAUCUAUCCCCACCCCCGUGUGUUUUUUAAUAUUCCCUUUAAUUGGAAAUAAUAUGAAAUAAAUAUUAAUAAUCAUAAUGUUAAUAAAAAUAAAACUAAAGAGACUUUCUUUGUCUCUCUAUUAAUGUUAUGUGCAAUUGAACGUGUUUUUAA